CCUGAUGGAGGGGGAUAACUACUGGAAACGGUAGCUAAUACCGCAUAACGUCUUCGGACCAAAGUGGGGGACCUUCGGGCCUCAUGCCAUCAGAUGUGCCCAGAUGGGAUUAGCUAGUAGGUGGGGUAAUGGCUCACCUAGGCGACGAUCCCUAGCUGGUCUGAGAGGAUGACCAGCCACACUGGAACUGAGACACGGUCCAGACUCCUACGGGAGGCAGCAGUGGGGAAUAUUGCACAAUGGGCGCAAGCCUGAUGCAGCCAUGCCGCGUGUAUGAAGAAGGCCUUCGGGUUGUAAAGUACUUUCAGCGAGGAGGAAGGCAUUAAGGUUAAUAACCUUAGUGAUUGACGUUACUCGCAGAAGAAGCACCGGCUAACUCCGUGCCAGCAGCCGCGGUAAU
rnacentral:rRNA from 1 species